AAUGUCAAACUCCACGCCUACAGGAUCAGGGGUCAGGAUCAAACCCAGGUCUCUGGCGCUGUUAGGCAGCAACU